GAUCCUGCACUUCUGUAUUGACCUGAAGUCAGUCAAGAGGAGUAUCUUCACAGAUUUUUUAAAAAAGACACCGAAAAGGAAAAACAAAUACACAAAGAGGUGAAACACAAGCCCUGUUUCUACCCUGCAGCAACCCAAACUUAAGUCACUUUGAAAACAGAUGCCUUUCA